ACGGGGCGCAGCAGGCGCGAAAACUUUGCAAUACACGAAAGUGUGACAGGGCUGUCCCGAGUGCCAUCCGCUGAGGAAGGCUUUUACCCAGUUUAGAACGCUGGGGGAAUAAGGAGAGGGCAAGACUGGUGUCAGCCGCCGCGGUAAUACCAGCUCUCCGAGUGGUGUGGAUGUUUAUUGGGCCUAAAGCAUCCGUAGCUGGCCAAGUUAGUCCCCUGUUAAAUCCACCGAUUUAAUCGUUGGAGUGCGGGGGAUACUGCUCGGCUAGGGGACGGGAGAGGCAGACGGUAUUUCCGGGGUAGGGGUGAAAUCCUAUAAUCCCGGGAAGACCACCAGUGGCGAAGGCUGUCUGCUAGAACGCGCCCGACGGUGAGGGAUGAAAGCUGGGGGAGCGAACCGGAUUAGAUACCCGGGUAGUCCCAGCUGUAAACGAUGCAGGCUAGGUGUUUGGACGGCCACGUGCCGUUCUAGUGCCGCAGGGAAGCCGUUAAGCCUGCCGCCUGGGGAGUACGGUCGCAAGGCUGAAACUUAAAGGAAUUGGCGGGGGAGCAC
rnacentral:rRNA from 1 species